rnacentral:lncRNA from 1 species
UGCCUUUGAAUCCACUUCGUAUCUCAGAUUCUCUCAAAUCCUCUCCGAAACUCUAGCCCCUUUCCCAUAGAGUUUCACCAUAUGUCACCGGAAACCAUGGCAUCUCUGGCCUUGGGUGGUCUGUACUCACCCCACGUGCCUUUAUACUCACUUGAAGACCCUGGAUCAGAAUCCCUCCGAUUCAGGUUCUACGGCCAUCUCCAGUUCGUCUCAGGCGUGUCCUAGCCUUGCGAGUUCACCUGAAACUCGGACCAGGCCUUUCUUAUUUUUCUAGGGUUUCUCUAAAAUCCUAAGACAUUUUCAAGGUUUUCUUGUUUCUCUCUAGAUCUACUUUAGAUCCGUGCUAUUUCUGAGAUUUUCAAAGUAGUUUUUACAUCUUUUCCGAUUUUUGCUUUCAAAACUGUUUGUCUUCUCGAACCUAGGGUUUCCUUGAUUUUUUUUACUUCUUCUACUAUUAUUUCUUACAUUGUUUUACUUACUGCAACUCCUAAAUGUUUUCACUAUGUUUUCUAUGUAUUUUUCUUUUACAGUAUUUCCUCCUAAGGUUUUCUAGUGAUUUACUUUACUGUGUUUCCUUUCUUCAAGCUCCCAUGAAAUAAUUAUGUUCUUUGGAUCUUCCUGAGUUUACUUUGGCCAAUUUUGUAUGCUUCCGUCUUUACACUUAAUCUGUGGAGGAAACCCUAGAAUUUGGGGUUUUCCAAACCAUUUGUGUGCGAUUUUGUUGUUUCAUAUUUGAUUUCAGAAACCAUAAUCUCUAAAUUCGUCUCAUAUUCUCUGCUUCUUGCUAAGCUUUGCAAGACCUUCUGAUUUUUCACAUAGCUAUGUUCUUCUAUUUUGAUUGCAUGAGCACUCUGUGUGUUUAAUUUUAGCCUCUGCAUGUUUAAGUUUAUGCAUCCUUUAUAGUCAUACCUUUUCCUCUUAAAAGAAUCAUAAUUUUUUGGGAUUGAUUUCAGACCACCAUUAUGUGAGCCUAUUCGAAUUUUUUCUUGUCUAAUUUGGACCAAUUUUCUGACUUUAUUCACUAUCAAGAUUGAAUCUUUAAUUCGUUAAUUUACUAUGUGUUAAUUGAUUUUAUUCUACCUUAUUUACUUAAACUGUGUAUUUUCAAAAAAACUUCUCAUAUGUAUUUACCCUUUACUACACAAUGUAUUAUUAAUUUUCUUUCCUUAAAUAAAAACUCCGCCAUCUCCUAAUUCGAACUCCUUAAAUAAAUGAGUUCCCAUCCCCUGAUUGAUUAUGAUUGAUACUGAACUAUUUAUUGCUUGUUUACCUUCCCGUUUUCAACUAUAAAUACCUCAGUCCUUUUCUUUAAAACACACGAACAACACAUUUUCAAAAACACACACACACUCAAAGCUCUCUUUUCUUUACUAUUACUUGUGCUACUGUUAUGGCUAGCCAAUUGAAAGCCAAGGCUAGACUUUGGAAUCUCCCUUGCUUUCCUCAAGUGUUUGCUGAAGAUUCUCUGGCUGUUUUCUUGCUUUGUUUGAUCUGCUGUUUGAAAGUUGCAACUGGUAUGUCUCCAUAAGUUAAACAUUCUCCACAACUAUGUGUUUGCUUCUCCUUUUUACAUGUCCCUCACUAUAUGUUUUGAUUUCUUGCAUUAUGUAAUCGUAUUUUAGUCUGUUAUGUUCUUUCUUCAUGUUUCUGCACCUUUAAAUUAUGUUAUGCUUUUUUUUUCCUUGAUGUUUUUUUCUGUACAUGCUUUUCCAUGUGAACCCCUUCCGUUUUACCCCUUUAUGUGUGAGUACUGUUCUAGGUUAAGGUAUCAUCCCAUUGCUUUCCAUGACCUAGGAACAGGUUCUCUUGGACCUUUACUCAAAUCAGUCUCAUUUCCUUCUCCCCCUUUAUGUGUUGAGCCUUGACUAGGGUCUGGAAGUAUCCUAAUCACCACCCAGGCCCCUAUCUGACUUCUAAAGUCUUCUCUUUAUCUGGUUAAACCAAGUGGAGGGUCAGGGGUGUGUCAGUCUUAUCCAUGGCUGGGUAUGACCACCCUUUGCUUUGGUUUCCCCUAGUUCCCUCACUUUACACUUAUUCUUAGUUAUUUAAGUUCUUUCCCCCUUUGGUAAGCCAUGCUUUGGGACCCUAGAGUUCCCUCUGAACUUGUAUGCAUAUGGGAUGGUAAUUCCACACAUUGCACUACUCUGUUACAACAUUCAAUCUUUGGAGUGUAAGCAUUGACUGGGUUCCUAAAAUCCCUUGCAACUUUGAAACACUCUAAGAGAACUCCGUGGAAUCUGUAAUCCGGAUUUGGUGAAACAUAUGUGUUGGAUGUUGAAGGUUGCAUUGAUCCUCCUCGGGUCUGACUUUGGUUUUGAUGUACUUAUUUCAUUCUUUUUCUUUCCAGUUUUGUAAUAACUAUGUAAUAAACUCGGGGAAAAUUUAGUAAAGGGUGUGGGAUGGGUUUAUUUUUCCUGCAUAAGUCAAAGGGUAUAAAUCUUGCCUAUAG